ensembl:lncRNA
GUAACUGUGAUUAUUAAAAAGUCAGCCUUACUUUUAAUUCUGUCAGUCUAUUUUAUUUAUGUUUUAUUCUUUGACAGUAACAUAAAUAUAGCCAGGUUAGUUACUGCUUGGUGUUAGCCACGAGUCGCUAGCAUGAAUGCUAACGUUUCCCCACACUGUUAGCUAGCAGCUAGCAUGAAUGCUAACGUUUCCCACACUGUUAGCUAGCUAGCAGCUAGCAUACUCUCCUUUGGCUGCAGAGUGGACAAAACUUUGGGUCUUUCUUUUAAACCAGACCAGGAAAAUGAAUUUCUAAGCAACCGGAUCCAACUAGGUUAGGUUAGCUAUCUCUGUCUUUUGUGUAAUUUUCCAUCAAAUAUCCAACGUGAUGCUCCACUGAUCUGUUAUCACAUCUCCACAUGUACUUGUCUGCAUUCCACCAUUUGGGUAAUUUCAAGUUUUAAAAAGGCGCUUCCUUGGUAAUCAACCCUGAGAGGGGAACAAAGGCCAGCAAGGAGAUGUCCAAGAGGUCGGGGAGCUGCUCCAGAAAAAGACAUCUACUGUAAAUCCUCAUGUAGCCUCCUUUAUAAAAAGACUGAUGGACUCUGAGUGGGACUUCAUGUAAACCCACAACACCUCUCCACACAGGACCUCACUUUCACAAAGGAAAAGCCCCGUCUGCAACCAGAUGUUCAUACUGUCAUUCUAAGGUAACAAGUCUCAGUAUUGUGUUUGGUUCAGUAUAAAAUACGUCAGUCCUGGUGUCUCAGUUUUGUAGUUCCAGGUUUGUUCCAUGACUUGGUGUUUAUUGAACAUGAUCAAGAGUUAUGAAAGACUGAUUCUGAAGGCAGGGUACCUGAAAUGUGAUGUGCAAUUUUUAAACAGAUUGUUGACAACCUGUUAAAAAUCAUUAGUUGUUUUUAUAGAUUGUAUUUUACAAGACUUCAAUUUCUUGAAAUUUGUUAGUUGCUGAAUGUGUUCAAUGCAGUAUUAAAUAAUUUAAGUGAUAUAUAGGAAUCUUUUGUUACAGUUCAGGAAAAAUGGAAACCAAACUCAGUGUACCUGAACUAGAACAUGCACAAUGAGAACCUGUUCAGCAUGAGGAAAUGAUUGUAUGUUACUAAAAUUUAAUGGGUUAAAUAAGUCAGUUUUUGAACUAUGUUUGAUACAGUGUUGGC